rnacentral:rRNA from 1 species
UAAACGGGGCUGAUUCGAGCUCGGCUCGACUCUCCCACCCAAUGUGUACCUACCUCUGUUGCUUUGGCGGGCCGCGGUCCUCCGCACCGGCGCCCUUCGGGGGGCUGGCCAGCGCCCGCCAGAGGACCAUAAAACUCCAGUCAGUGAACUUCGCAGUCUGAAAAACAAGUUAAUAAACUAAAACUUUCAACAACGGAUCUCUUGGUUCUGGCAUCGAUGAAGAACGCAGCGAAAUGCGAUAAGUAAUGUGAAUUGCAGAAUUCAGUGAAUCAUCGAAUCUUUGAACGCACAUUGCGCCCCUUGGUAUUCCGAGGGGCAUGCCUGUUCGAGCGUCAUUUCAACCCUCAAGCUCUGCUUGGUAUUGGGCCCCGUCCUCCACGGACGCGCCUUAAAGACCUCGGCGGUGGCGUCUUGCCUCAAGCGUAGUAGAAAACACCUCGCUUUGGAGCGCACGGCGUCGCCCGCCGGACGAACCUUUGAAUUAUUUCUCAAGGUUGACCUCGGAUCAGGUAGGGAUACCCGCUGAACUUAAGCAUAUCAG